AGCCUUACUCGAAAAUGGUGAAGUCCUCAGCAUAUUCUUGCUUCGCCGUCAUCCUAGCCACUGUCGUUUUAUGUACGUAUCUACGAUAACUUGUAUGAUCUUCAAUAUUUAUAUUUUGCGCACAUAUUACACUUUGUCGCUUUUAUUGUUCAUAUGAAAACGGUCGUGAAUAGAUUCAGAAUUAUAAGUAAAUGUGUGAUACGUAACAUAGUCAUGAUCGUAGAAAUCAGAUCGAUUUUAGGGACUUUCGGCGUCCUUCUACUACUCAAGUGAAUUGGUCGGGACUUCUUCCUCGAGUCUUGCCAUGAUAGCAAACUUAUGAUAUUGUUAUAUUUUGCAGGUGAGUUGAUAAUUCCGAUGGCCAAUGGUGCAACAUGCUAUAAAGUACUAUCAGAUCUGCCCUGCCCACUUGGAAACCCCGCUGCUUGUUUGCCAACAUGCAAGAAAUUGUGUGGAAAGAAUUCUAAAGCGGUUUGUGCCAAUGUAGCUCCUUCUUUUUGUGCUUGUGAAUUUCAAGCAAAUGACUGUACAAAAUUUCAAGUAUGUUGACGCAUUACUGCUCUGUCAGCAAAUAAGAACCGA
rnacentral:lncRNA from 1 species